UAAGAUUUGUUAAUCUUCAGUUAAAGCCUC
rnacentral:piRNA from 1 species